rnacentral:rRNA from 1 species
AUUGAACGCUGGCGGCAUGCCUUACACAUGCAAGUCGAACGGUAACAGGUCUUCGGAUGCUGACGAGUGGCGAACGGGUGAGUAAUACAUCGGAACGUGCCCGAUCGUGGGGGAUAACGCAGCGAAAGCUGUGCUAAUACCGCAUACGAUCUACGGAUGAAAGCGGGGGGUCGAAAGACCUCGCGCGAACGGAGCGGUCGAUGGCAGAUUAGGUAGUUGGUGGGAUAAAAGCUUACCAAGCCGACGAUCUGUAGCUGGUCUGAGAGGACGACCAGCCACACUGGGACUGAGACACGGCCCAGACUCCUACGGGAGGCAGCAGUGGGGAAUUUUGGACAAUGGGCGCAAGCCUGAUCCAGCCAUGCCGCGUGCAGGAUGAAGGCCUUCGGGUUGUAAACUGCUUUUGUACGGAACGAAAAGACUCUUUCUAAUAAAGAGAGUCCAUGACGGUACCGUAAGAAUAAGCACCGGCUAACUACGUGCCAGCAGCCGCCGCAGUAA